UCCCUGAAGGACUAGUGGUUAGGCCAUGGCAGUCUCACCACCAUGGCCCGGGUUUGAUUCCCAGCCAGGGAA